rnacentral:miRNA from 1 species
AGAAUCCUAGAGCUGAAAAGCA